UAGGGAACCUUCCACAAUGGACGCAAGUCUGAUGGAGCAACGCCGCGUGAGUGAAGAAGGUCUUCGGAUCGUAAAGCUCUGUUGUUGGUGAAGAAGGAUAGAGGCAGUAACUGGUCUUUAUUUGACGGUAAUCAACCAGAAAGUCACGGCUAACUACGUGCCAGCAGCCGCGGUAAUACGUAGGUGGCAAGCGUUGUCCGGAUUUAUUGGGCGUAAAGCGAGCGCAGGCGGAAUGAUAAGUCUGAUGUGAAAGCCCACGGCUCAACCGUGGAACUGCAUCGGAAACUGUCAUUCUUGAGUGCAGAAGAGGAGAGUGGAACUCCAUGUGUAGCGGUGGAAUGCGUAGAUAUAUGGAAGAACACCAGUGGCGAAGGCGGCUCUCUGGUCUGCAACUGACGCUGAGGCUCGAAAGCAUGGGUAGCGAACAGGAUUAGAUACCCUGGUAGUCCAUGCCGUAAACGAUGAGCGCUAGGUGUUGGGGACUUUCCGGUUCUCAGUGCCGCAGCAAACGCAUUAAGCGCUCCGCCUGGGGAGUACGACCGCAAGGUUGAAAC
rnacentral:rRNA from 1 species